CCUACGGGAGACAGCAGUGAGGAAUAUUGGUCAAUGGCCGGAAGGCUGAACCAGCCAAGCCGCGUGAAGGACGAAGGUGCCAAGCAUUGUAAACUUCUUUUGUCAAGGGACAAAAUCAGGCUCGAGAGCCUGACCGAGGGUACUUGAAGAAAAAGCAUCGGCUAACUCCGUGCCAGCAGCCGCGGUAAUACGGAGGAUGCGAGCGUUAUCCGGAUUUAUUGGGUUUAAAGGGUGCGUAGGCGGACUGUUAAGUCAGCGGUAAAAGCCCGGGGCUCAACCCCGGCGAGCCGUUGAAACUGGCUGUCGUGAGAUGUUGAGAGGUAUGCGGAAUGCGCAGUGUAGCGGUGAAAUGCUUAGAUAUUGCGCAGAACUCCGAUUGCGAAGGCAGCAUACCGGCGGCGAUCUGACGCUGAGGCACGAAAGCGUGGGUAUCGAACAGGAUUAGAUACCCUAGUAGUC
rnacentral:rRNA from 1 species